UACAGAGGGGGCAAGCGUUAUUCGGAAUUAUUGGGCGUAAAGCGCGUGUGGGCGGUCCGGUAAGUCCGCUGUGAAAGUCGGGGGCUCAACCCUCGAAUGCCGGUGGAUACUGUCGGGCUAGAGUGCGGAAGAGGCGAGUGGAAUUCCUGGUGUAGCGGUGAAAUGCGCAGAUAUCAGGAGGAACACCAAUUGCGAAGGCAGCUCGCUGGGACGUAACUGACGCUGAGACGCGAAAGCGUGGGGAGCAAACAGG
rnacentral:rRNA from 1 species